UCGGGAAUUUUGGGCAAUGGGCGAAAGCCUGACCCAGCAACGCCGCGUGAGGGAUGAAGUAUUUCGGUAUGUAAACCUCGAAAGAAUGGGAAGAAUAAAUGACGGUACCAUUUAUAAGCUCCGGCUAACUAUGUGCCAGCAGCCGCGGUAAUACGUAGGGAGCAAGCGUUGUUCGGAUUUACUGGGCGUAAAGGGCGCGUAGGCGGCGCGGUAAGUCACUUGUGAAAUCUCUGAGCUUAACUCAGAACGGCCAAGUGAUACUGCUGUGCUAGAGUGCGGAAGAGGCAACCGGAAUUCUUGGUGUAGCGGUGAAAUGCGUAGAUAUCAAGAGGAACACCUGAGGCGAAGGCGGGUUGCUGAGCCGACACUGACGCUGAUGCGCGAAAGCCAGGGGAGCAAACG
rnacentral:rRNA from 1 species